rnacentral:rRNA from 1 species
UACGAAGGGGGCUAGCGUUGCUCGGAAUCACUGGGCGUAAAGCGCACGUAGGCGGAUUGUUAAGUCAGGGGUGAAAUCCUGGAGCUCAACUCCAGAACUGCCUUUGAUACUGAAGAUCUUGAGUUCGGGAGAGGUGAGUGGAACUGCGAGUGUAGAGGUGAAAUUCGUAGAUAUUCGCAAGAACACCAGUGGCGAAGGCGGCUCACUGGCCCGAUACUGACGCUGAGGCACGAAAGCGUGGGGAGCAACGGGG